GAUGAACGCUGGCGGCGUGCCUAACACAUGCAAGUCGAACGAAGCACCUUACCUGAUUCUUCGGAUGAAAGUUUGGUGACUGAGUGGCGGACGGGUGAGUAACGCGUGGGUAACCUGCCCUGUACAGGGGGAUAACAGCUGGAAACGGCUGCUAAUACCGCAUAAGCGCACGAGGAGACAUCUCCUUGUGUGAAAAACUCCGGUGGUACAGGAUGGGCCCGCGUCUGAUUAGCUGGUUGGCAGGGUAACCGCCUACCAAGGCAACGAUCCGGAGCCGGGCGGAGAGGGAUAACCGGCCCCUUGGGAAUGGGGACCGGUUCAAACUGCUACGGGAAGCCGGAAGGGGGAAAAUUUGCCAAGGGGGGAAACCCCGAAGCAGCCACCGCGGGGGAGGGAAGAAGUAUUUUGGUAAGGAAAGCUCUAAUAACAAGGAAGAUUAUGACGGUACCCGACUAAGAAGCCCCGGCUAAAUACGUG
rnacentral:rRNA from 1 species